rnacentral:rRNA from 2 species
GGAUGCGAUCAUACCAGCACUAAAGCACCGGAUUCCAUUAGAACUCCGAAGUUAAGCGUGCUUGGGUGAGAGUAGUACUAGGAUGGGAGACCUCCUGGGAAGUCCUCGUGUUGCAUUCC